AACGAACGCUGGUGGCAUGCCUAUCACAUGCAAGUCGAACGAGAUCUUCGGGUCUAGUGGCGCACGGGUGCGUAACGCGUGGGAAUCUGCCCUUUGGUUCGGAAUAACAGUUGGAAACGACUGCUAAUACCGGAUGAUGACGAAAGUCCAAAGAUUUGUCGCCAGAGGAUGAGCCCGCGUAGGAUGAGCUAGUUGGUGUGAUAAAAGCGCACCAAGGCGACGAUCGGUAGCUGGUCUGAGAGGAGGAUCAGCCACACGGGGACUGCGACACGGCCCAGAAUCCGACGGGAGGCAUCAGUGGUGAAUAUUGGACAAUGGGCGAAAGCCUGAUCCAGCAAUGCCGCGUGAGUGAUGAAGGCCUUAGGGUUGUAAGGCUCUUUUACCCGGGAUGAUAAUGACAGUACCGUGAGAAUAAGCUCCGGCUAACUCCGUGCCAGCAGCCGCAGUAA
rnacentral:rRNA from 1 species